rnacentral:rRNA from 1 species
UGGCGGCGCGUCCAACACAUGCAAGAAAAAGGGCAUCAGGGGGGCAACUCCCUGGUGACCGGCGAAUUUUUCCGUAACACGUGAGCGACCUACCCUCGUGUGGGGGAUAGCCGGCCCAACGGCCGGGUAAGACCGCAUACGCUUAUUGAGGUUCAUGCUUCGAUAAGGAAAACUCUCGCAAGAGAGUGCUCGAGGAGGGGCUCGCGGCCUAUCAGCUAGUUGGUGAGGUAACGGCUCACCAAGGCUAUGACGGGUAGCUGGUCUGAGAGGACGACCAGCCACACUGGAACUGAGACACGGUCCCCACUCCUACGGGAGGCAGCAGUGGG